AUUUCUCAUGUCAUGUUGGGGAUGGGGAGCGCCAGUGGUCUGAAACAAUGGGAGUGCAGAGCAAGGAUUGUGGGGGGAAAUCUCGUCUGGAGCCAAUUUUUUUUUGAGGGAGUAACACCCGGCUGCAGACUGUGGACAGGAAACAGAGAGCGAGAGAAGCUAAAAGCAUCCACCAUGCUUCCCAGCCGAAACAGUUUGGAAGAGUUUGUGCAUAUAUUCUGACAACAUUUUUGGAGUUUUUUUGCUGUUUGAGCACACAAAUAUUUUUCUGGAGGCAAGCUGAAGUUCGGAGCCGAAGUCUACACCCCUUCGUCAGUGAUUGGUCAACAGUAGGGAUUCUUCAAUAAUGUCUUUUGUUGUCAUUCAACGAGAGACAACUCUUUUUCAUGCACAUUUUUUCAUUGAGAAAUACUGCACCAAACAUCUUAGUUAGAUGUAAAAUUGUGCUACUAAGAUCUCUGCAAAAACUUCAAAUUAAUGACAGAUUUCUUGAUUCAUUCAGACUAUUUUGAGGAAGUGAUUACUGGGUACGGCUUCUCAAAAUGGACAAACAGUACUUCUGCCGUUUUUUUCUCCUUAUUUCAAGCAAGGUAUUAUGGAGUAUGCGAGGGAGUAUGCGAGCACACUAGUUCGGUUUGGCUUGUCGAGUUCAGCUAGGCGCCAGCCGAACUGUAGCAUUCUUAAGCAACAGGUUUGUUAAAUUAUUUUUUAAAUGUAACCUUUAUUUAACUAGGCAAGUCAGUUAAGAACAAAUUGUUAUUUACAAUGAUGGCCUACUCCAGCCAAAUCCAGCCAACGCUGGGCCAAUUGUGCACUACCCUAUGGGACUCCCAAUCACAGCCAGAUGUGAUACAGCCGGGAUUCAAACCAGGUACUAUAGUGACACCUCUUCCACUGAGAUGCAGUGCCUUAGACCGCUGCGCCACUCAGGAGCCCAAUAAGGAGGAAGGACAUUCCAGGAAUGUUUUGCCAGUUGCCACCUUCUCCAUUCACAGCCAUUUGUGUUGGCCCUAUCUAUUACUUUCACUGCAGUGAUACCUUUUGUCCACAGCCUUAGUUUGUGUUCAUAUUUCAGCAUCAUUUCAAUAAAUCUAAUGGAAGGCAAUAUGUUUUUGAACACAGGUGUACUGUAGACUGAUGAUGCUUUGCUAGUGUAGGAAUGUAGAAAUAGGCCCUUCCUGUUGCAUAGACUUAUCUAGCUCCUUAUGUGCUGAGUGACUUGUUGUGGAGUGCUGUGCUGGGGUACAGGCACGGAUGUCUGAUAUACAGAGUGACAUACUGUAGGGCUGCUGGGGAUGAGUGGGUGUUUGAGGUCAUACGGUAAUAUACAGUGAGGGAAAAACAUAUUUGAUCCCCUGCUGAUUUUGUACGUUUGCCCACUGACAAAGAAAUGAUCAGUGUAUAAUUUUAAUGGUAGGUUUAUUUGAACAGUGAGAGACAGAAUAACAACAAAAAACUUCAGAAAAACGCAAGUGAAAAAUGUUAUAAAAUGAUUUGCAUUUUAAUGAGGGAAAUAAGUAUUUGACCCCUCUGCAAAACAUGACUUAGUACUUGGUGGCAAAACCCUUGUUGGCAAUCACAGAGGUCAGACGUUUCUUGUAGUUGGCCACCAGGUUUGCACACAUCUCAGGAGGGAUUUUGUCCCACUCCUCUUUGCAGAUCUUAACCAAGUCAUUAAGGUUUCGAAGCUGACAUUUGGCAACUCGAACCUUCAGCUCCCUCCACAGAUUUUCUAUGGGAUUAAGGUCUGGAGACUGGCUAGGCCACUCCAGGACCUUAAUGUGCUUCUUCCUGAGCCACUCCUUUGUUGUCUUGGCUGUGUGUUUUGGGUCAUUGUCAUGCUGGAAUACCCAUCCACGUCCCAUUUUCAAUGCCCUGGCUGAGGGAAGGAGGUUCUCACCCAAGAUUUGAUGGUACAUGGCCCCGUCCAUCGUCCCUUUGAUGCAGUGAAGUUGUCCUGUCCCCUUAGCAGAAAAACACUCGCAAAGCAUCAUGUUUCCACCUCCAUGUUUGACGGUGGGGAUGGUGUUCUUGGGGUCCAAACACGGCGAGUUGAGUUGAUGCCAAAGAGCUCCAUUUUGGUCUCAUCUGACCACAACACUUUCACCCAGUUGUCCUCUGAAUCAUUCAGAUGUUCAUUGGCAAACUUCAGAUGGGCAUGUAUAUGUGCUUUCUUGAGCAGGGGGACCUUUCGGGCGCUGCAGGAUUUCAGUCCUUCACGGCGUAGUGUGUUACCAAUUGUUUUCUUGGUGACUAUGGUCCCAGCUGCCUUGAGAUCAUUGACAAGAUCCUCCCGUGUAGUUCUGGGCUGAUCCCUCACCAUUCUCAUGAUCAUUGCAACUCCACGAGGUGAGAUCUUGCAUGGAGCCCCAGGCAGAGGGAGAUUGACAGUUAUUUUGUAUUUCUUCCAUUUGCGAAUAAUCGCACCAACUGUUGUCACCUUCUCACCCAAGCUGCUUGGUGAUGGUCUUGUAGCCCAUUCCAGCCUUGUGUAGGUCUACAAUCUUGUCCCUGACAUCCUUGGAGAGCUCUUUGGUCUUGGCCAUGGUGGAGAGUUUGGAAUCUGAUUGAUUGAUUGCUUCUGUGGACAGGUGUCUUUUAUACAGGUAACAAGCUGAGAUUAGGAGCACUCCCUUUAAGAGUGUGCUCCUAAUCUCAGCUCGUUACCUGUAUAAAAGACACCUGGGAGCCAGAAAUCUUUCUGAUUGAGAGGGGGUCAAAUACUUAUUUUCC
rnacentral:lncRNA from 1 species